rnacentral:lncRNA from 1 species
AGAGUUUCCAGACUGAGCAAGGAAGCCCCACCCUGAGAGUGGGUGGCACCAUUCAGUGGGCUGGGUUUUCAGAGUGAAGAGAAAGCACGCUGAACACCAGCAAUCAUUUCCUGCUGCUGCCUGACUUUGGAUCCUCUCUGACCAAUCCUCAUCUAUCCCCACCUCCAUGCCUUGCCUGCUACGCUGGGCUGUAUCCCUUCUUAAAAUAUAAACCGGUACCCUUCUUUCUACAGGGUGCUUCUUGUAAGGAAUUUGGUCAAAGCAAAGAGAAGAGCAACCAGUUCACGGAUGAAAAUCAUCAGGAAGCCUUUGCUACGGUUUGGGGAAAACCUCGUGAGAUUCAGAGUAAUCCUGAAGAUGAGGGCCGGCCUCAUCCUCCACCCUGCAGACCCCACGCUGUGAGCUGAAUUUUGCUCAGGAAGAGUGACCAAAUACAAGAUCUUUUGAGAGAAUAUGAAUUCGUACAUGUUUCAGUCCAAGAUGAGUAUCUGGUUUGCUAUUUCUGGCAAAGGGGCAGGGAACAUCCAAGGUUGUCAGUAUAACUUUUAUCUCUCGUGAUUUAACUGGCCCUUUU